rnacentral:rRNA from 1 species
ACUCAAAGGAAUUGACGGGGGCCCGCACAAGCGGCGGAGCAUGUGGAUUAAUUCGAUGCAACGCGAAGAACCUUACCUGGGUUUGACAUACACUGGACGGCCGUGGAGACACGGUUUCCGUAAGGCUGGUGUACAGGUGGUGCAUGGCUGUCGUCAGCUCGUGUCGUGAGAUGUUGGGUUAAGUCCCGCAACGAGCGCAACCCUUGUCCCAUGUUGCCAGCGGGUUAUGCCGGGGACUCAUGGGAGACUGCCGGGGUCAACUCGGAGGAAGGUGGGGAUGACGUCAAGUCAUCAUGCCCCUUAUGUCCAGGGCUUCACACAUGCUACAAUGGCCGGUACAAAGGGCUGCUAAGCCGUGAGGUGGAGCGAAUCCCACAAAGCCGGUCUCAGUUCGGAUCGGGGUCUGCAACUCGACCCCGUGAAGUCGGAGUCGCUAGUAAUCGCAGAUCAGCAAUGCUGCGGUGAAUACGUUCCCGGGCCUUGUACACACCGCCCGU